AGGUAUCUCCGAAAUUGCCAGAGGGUUUGGAGGUUUGUUUUUUUUACCAACUUGUAUUUUCUUUUGCUGGAUAUGGGAGUACUUUACCUAUUAGAAUAAUCUGUGUUUUAACUGUCCCUGCCAACCCUGUUCCUUUUCCUUUUCCUUUUUUUUUUAAGUUCCAUGGAAACUUUGGGCCCUUUACAUAUUUCUUUCAGAAUUCCUAUGCCCUUGUGGGAGAAAACCAUCAAAAGAUUUCAGUGGAAUGUUUUUCUCCCUUGUCCCCUGAUCCCCACCUAAGUUGUUCGUGUAGGGGUCCUAUAUCUUGAAAUCCUCUAGUGAAAACCCCUCCCCCCAUCCUACUGGCCAAGAAUAUGAAACAUUCAAAGGUUUAAGCCACAGGGGUCUGAGCUAAGGAGCCCUCCCCUUCGUCACCACUCCCACUGGAGGAUCCCAGAAAUUGAGGAUUUAACUCUGUGUUAGCCUACAGCUAUUUCUUUCCCAAAGUACCCUUGACCAUGGCUUAUCAAGGCAUUAACUCAGAUAGUCCUGUUACCAUCUAGUUUUCCUUCUUUUUUUACAUCUCUAAAAAUCCUCCAACUGGAAAUUUUUUACUCUGGGAACUCUUGAGCUCUGGACCCUAUGGGUGGUAUGACCCAUCAGGGCUUUGAAGUAGGUAUUCUGUAGACACAGAAUUCCUACAACCAAAUCACUCAGCUUUAUGCAAUGGCUAACACUUCAGACCAAAACAUGGGUGCCCAUAGAUCAUUCCAGAAGUAGAAAGGGGGGAAAAAAAAGACCUACAGGUAGUUUCAGGAAAAAAUGUAAAGUUAGUUUUCCUUAGCCAUUUUUUUUACUGAAAACAAUCUUCAUUCUCAUCUAGACUAACCUACUUGUCUAAAAAUCUCUUAAGACCAUUUUAAAAGCUCUAAAUAGUAUUCCCUUUGGCUUUUUGAUGGGCAAGUUCACUACUAAUACCUUUUCCCUCUUUGUAUUAGUGAAGAAAAUGUCUCUGAGCCUAGGAUGGAAUCCCAAGUCUGGCACUGGUCUUGCAGAAUUUAGUUUCCUCAUGGCUCCCUGGAGUAAGGCUGAGCUUCAGAAGAGGAGACAUUCUGGCUGCUCACCAGGACAGGGUGAUCAUCAAUGUGGGUUUUCUGAGGCUCUUGAAAAGAUAAAUAAAGACUACAGUAGAGUGGUUGGCAUCAGACCAGAACCACCUUGUUCCACAUGGCACAAAAAUCAGAUCUCAAGGAAAAGCAGUAUCCAUAGGAAGAGGCAGAGAAAAUUGUCCUGAGAGGAGGAGAAGGAUAAAUAACAGCAUAAUGGGAUAAUUUGUCUACAAAACAGAAGGACUAAUCUGGAAGGAGAAGCCAGGACAGGUAUGGGAGUUUCCUCUGAGAACUCCCAAACUGGGCCCUCCCUGUUUCCCCUGAUAGAAUGUACAAGGAAGACAGCAUUUGAGACUUCACUGUCAAGCUUGGAACUGAAGUUGUGAACUGAUAUGUGGGAGAAAAAGGGUUGAGGUGGGGGCCAUGGACCAUAAUACAGGCAACGUCCGUGUAACUAUUAAAGGUUUUAAAAGUACUUUACAUAUAUUAUUUCAUUUGGUCCUCAGCCUAAGUGGGUAAUACUGAUCUCUUGAUCUCCAUUUUUCCAAUAAGGAAAGGGGCUCAGUCUCAAGUGAUUUGUCCAUGGCAAUACAAAAUAGGUAAUAAAUUAGAGAGCCUAUUUGAAUCCA
rnacentral:lncRNA from 1 species